rnacentral:rRNA from 1 species
GUGUCAGCCGCCGCGGUAAUACGGAAGGGGCUAGCGUUGUUCGGAAUCACUGGGCGUAAAGCGCGCGUAGGCGGCCGGUCAAGUGCGGCGUGAAAGUCCUGGGCUCAACCCGGGGACGGCGCUGCGGACUGUCCGGCUGGAGUCCGGAAGAGGGUGGUGGAAUUCCGAGUGUAGAGGUGAAAUUCGUAGAUAUUCGGAGGAACACCGGUGGCGAAGGCGGCCACCUGGUCCGGUACUGACGCUCAAGCGCGAAAGCGUGGGGAGCAAACAGGAUUAGAAACCCCCGUAGUCC